ensembl:lncRNA
UUUUGUGACAUUUAUUCCGAGUUAACUUGUUAACACUUUGUUGAGUGCAUCCUGCGCUUUGUGUGGAGCCGCACUGCUUUACUGCGUUUCCUACUUUUGUGAAUGAAAAGGGAUGCAAAUUGAUUCGUCGUGUGACGUGGAUGUUUUUGGCUGAUGGUCCACUAGACUUUUGUUUACGGCAGUGUGGAAUUGCUAUCCGAACAUGAAUGGGUUCACCUUGAUGCUGCUGUUUGCUGCUCAGUGCUUUCCAGUAACAGCAAGUCAAGACAUGUCUUCUGUUGUUUGCACCACUCAUGAUAAAAACAAAAAACAAGUUUAUGAGAUAUUUAACAGAUACUGUAUUUUACAGGCGGAAACAAAUCGGCACAGCUCUUUUUCUGCAGUAUUCCAGGAUGUGGCUCUAAUGUGACCCACGUGUUUUGCAACGACGAGUCGCUCCUCAGUGAUGGUCCCAUCCCGAACUGUACCGGGCCUCCACCCCCCAAUACUGUCUGCCAGCACAAGGGCUUCGCAUUCGCCUCCACCGAUUCAGAUGCUGGCUGUGAUUUUGAAGGGAAAGACGGUCUUAUUGAGUCGGGAAAAUGUACAGACAACAGCAGCAUCUGUGCUUCUCUUCACCGUGGAUUUCAUCGUCCAUCGCUGACCACUGCCUUUCCUCUAGUCAACGCUACAUCACAAGUCCCCACAAGGGGGCGUUAUGGAUUAAUUGUUGAAGGUGUAAUUUUAGGUCUGCUGAUCGUAGGAAUAGGAAUAGCAAGAAGAGUCUCUUAUAGACGCUCACAGCAGGAUUCAGCAAGUAACGCUGCUGUGACUGAACCGCUGAGACAGAUGGAAGGUCCCGAAGGAAUCAGUGAUAGGUUAGUACCUAUUAAAAUGAAGCAAAUAAAAACAACAAUAUGUAAAGAUUUAAAGAUACUCUUUCUACAUCCUUUAGUGAUACUGCUGGAUUGGAAGAUGGCGGUUCUACUUCCCACCAGGAGAGUGGAGUUUAAACAACUGCAGCUUCAUCAUCUUUGUUGUAUUUUUCUCAUUUUUUUCUCAAGAUAUCUCAUGGGGUUGUUUUUUUUUUAAAUGUAGCACAAACAUCCAUGAACUGAUUAGGUUUUUGUGGUUAAAGGUCAACGUGAAAUCAGCCCCAUUAUUACAAACACAAUAUCUCAGGAACACCUUAAGAGAGUUUCUGGACUGCAGGAUGAAGUCAUACGGUUUUUGCAAUCAAAAGGUCACUGUGAAAAAUGUUUAUUUAAUCUUUAUCCUUAUUUAAGGCCACGAGUCGCAUCAAUAAACUUAUACAGAUAAUUUUGCAAACACGUCCAGUAGAAUAACAUGAUGAAGUAAUGCCAUUUUGGACAGACCCUGGUGAAGAAUGUUUAUGCGGUAGUUUUUCCUAUUUUUGAAAUCAACAUGACAUCUGUUUUAGAAGUGUUCCUUUUAGUGCAAGCCUCCCCCACUUCCUGUAUAUUAUCAUUACUAUUAUAUUAUGUACAAUAAACUCAGAUGCAAAUUAAAA